rnacentral:rRNA from 1 species
GAUGAACGCUGGCGGCGUGCUUAACACAUGCAAGUCGAACGGAAAGGCCCAAGCUUGCUUGGGUACUCGAGUGGCGAACGGGUGAGUAACACGUGAGUGAUCUGCCCUGCACUUCGGGAUAAGCCUGGGAAACUGGGGCUAAUACCGGAUAGGACCACCUCGUAGUUGGUGUGGUGGAAAGAUUUUUGGGUGUGGGGUGAGGUCGCGGCCUAUCAGCUUGUUGGUGGGGGGAUGGCCCACAAAGGCGUCGUGGGGGAGGCGGGCUGUGGGGGGGUGCGGCCAUAGUGGUGCUGUGCUGCCGCCCAUCCUCCGGCGGGCGGCAGCAGUGGAGAAUGUUGCACGAGCGGAGGACGCCUGCUGCAGCGCCGCGGCGGGGAUGAUGACGGCCGGGUUGUUGUAAACUCCUUUCUGUAAAGACGAGUUUAUGACGGUAAUUGGUGAAGAAGCACCGGCUAACUACGUG